rnacentral:rRNA from 1 species
AGUGGGGGACAACGUUUCGAAAGGAACGCUAAUACCGCAUACGUCCUACGGGAGAAAGUGGGGGAUCUUCGGACCUCACGCUAUCAGAUGAGCCUAGGUCGGAUUAGCUUGUAGGUGAGGUAAUGGCUCACCUAGGCAACGAUCCGUAACUGGUCUGAGAGGAUGAUCAGUCACACUGGAACUGAGACACGGUCCAGACUACUACGGGAGGCAGCAGUGGGGAAUAUUGGACAAUGGGCGAAAGCCUGAUCCAGCCAUGCCGCGUGUGUGAAGAAGGUCUUCGGAUUGUAAAGCACUUUAAGUUGGGAGGAAGGGUUGUAGCUUAAUACGCUGCAACUUUGACGUUACCAACAGAAUAAGCACCGGCUAACUCUGUGCCAGCAGCCGCGGUAAUACAGAGGGUGCAAGCGUUAAUCGGAAUUACUGGGCGUAAAGCGCGCGUAGGCGGCUUGAUAAGAUGGGUGUGAAAUCCCCGGGCUUAACCUGGGAACUGCAUCCAUAACUGUCUGGCUAGAGUACAGUAGAGGGUGGUGGAAUUUCCUGUGUAGCGGUGAAAUGCGUAGAUAUAGGAAGGAACACCAGUGGCGAAGGCGACACCCUGGAUUGAUACUGACACUGAGGUGCGAAAGCGUGGGGAGCAAACAGGAUUAGAUAACCUGGUAGUCCACGCCGUAAACGAUGUCAACUAGCCGUUGGAAUCCUUGAGAUUUUAGUGGCGCAGCUAACGCACUAAGUUGACCGCCUGGGGAGUACGGCCGCAAGGUUAAAACUCAAAUGAAUUGACGGGGGCCCGCACAAGCGGUGGAGCAUGUGGUUUAAUUCGAC